AUAAGUGACCUAUUUGACCAUUUCACACAGAUUAAGAAAAGUGUAAAGAUGAAAGAAAGAGAGUGAUACUUUUACUGAGUUGCCCUUGUCAUUAUUUUGAAACUUUUUCACUUUUAAGCAAUGAUUACUUUCUUUGUUCCACUACAAACUUUAACAUGGGGACCACAAAAAGUAUUUAUAAGGGGUAAAUCUGUCAAAUUUUGCUUAGAAAUCUGAGAAGGUCAAGUAUUGUGGGACAAAUAUUUUUUACAAAUAGGUCACUUAUUCAGGGACGGAGGGAGUACUAUAUCAUUAAUAGUUCUUUCUCAACACCAAUUAUUAUUUGAUUGUUUCCGAUCCAAUAAUUGAAUAGUAAUUACGUAUUGCAUUAAUUGAUGAAAUACCUACAUGGCCUGUGAUCAAUGAAAUUCCGUGAUUAAGUAUCAUUAUAUGUAGGAAAUUGUAAAUGUGAAUUUGCAACGUCUCCCCACGAUAGACGCCAUUUCCAAACUUAGCUCAACACAAUAAUGCAUGAGAUUUUGCAGUUAUUAUCAAUAAUAACCCCAAAACUGUGGACUUUUGGUUCUUAAAAGUUGAUUCUUACUUCUAAAUUGAACUCAUUGCAAAGUGCAAACAUCCCAAUAUGACAAAUGCAAAAAGAAAAAGAGGAUGCUCAAUUCCAAACCGCAAUGGUUAUGGAGAAUUUCCCAUCCUCAAAGCAACCCUCUUUGUUCUCUUACUACUACUUUGUGCAUUAUGGUUCAAGAGAAACCAAUUAACCAUCCUGUGCCCUAACAAGACCAUGUCCGAGGCUAUCCAAGACCCUCCUGAAAAAACAUUCUACGACGACCCAACAUUGAGUUACUCCGUCGAGGAGCCAAUGAAGCAAUGGGACAAAAAGCGAAGCCACUGGCUACAACUUCAUCCUUCAUUUGCCGCUGGUGCAAGUGACCGGAUUCUUGUCCUCACGGGGUCACAACCAACGCCGUGCAAGAACCCAAUCGGCGAUCACUUGCUUUUAAGGUGUUUCAAGAACAAGGUUGAUUACUGCAGGAUCCACAACUGUGAGGUGUAUUAUAGCAACCUACAUCUGCAUCCCAAGAUGGAUUCUUAUUGGUCAAAACUUCCAAUUAUCCGGUCCACUAUGAUGGCCCACCCGGAAGUCGAGUGGAUCUGGUGGAUGGAUGCAGAUGCAGUUUUCAGUGACAUGGAGUUCAAAGUUCCAUUGGACCGUUACAAGGACCACAAUCUCGUGGUCCAUGGUUGGUCCAACAUGGUGUACGAUGAUAGUGAGAAUAAGAGUUGGACUGGACUUAACGCCGGGUCCAUCCUUGUUCGAAAUUGUCAAUGGUCCAUGGACUUAUUACACGUUUGGGCUCAAAUGGGUCCAUUAACAUCAAACUACGCAAAAUGGGGGAAGAUCUUAACAUCAAUAUUUAAAGAUAAACCGUUCCCUCUACCAGAUGAUCAAUCUUCGUUGAUUUAUUUGCUUUCGAGGCAAAGAAGAAAAUGGGGAGCGAAGACAUUUUUGGAGGAAGGUUAUGAUUUAGAAGGUUAUUGGAUUGCUACAAUGGGGAAGUUAGAGGGAAUACAAAAUAAGUAUGAUGAGAUAGAGAAGAAAGCUAGGGUUUUAAGGAGAAGGCAUUCAGAGAAGGUGAGUGUUUGGUAUGGUGAAAUGAGAGAGCCUUAUUUGAAAUGGAGUGAAAGGAGGCCGUUUGUUAAGCAUUUUACGGGGUGUCAGCCAUGUAGUGGGGAUCAUAACCCUAGUUAUAAGGGUGAUGUUUGUUGGAAAGAGAUGGAGAGGGCUUUGAAUUUUGCUGAUAAUCAAGUGCUUCGUAAUUAUGGGUUUGUGAGGAAGAAUCUUAUGACAUCUUCUGUGUAUGAAGUUCCAUUUGGAUAUCCAAGAGACUAGGCGUAGCUAGCAGGUUGCGGUGAAGGGCUUAAUUUGUUAACUAGGUUUGUUACUCUAGUCAUAUAAUGUAGUAUUCCACAGUACCAAAUGAACAAAAAUCUGGCUUUAUUACAUCUAGUAUAGCCUACAUAUGAUGUUUUUCCAUUUGUCUUCUUUCUAUGUUGUUAUAUUUUACCUAUUUUGAAUGUUGUGUAUUAGCUACUGAACUUCAAUCUUUUUGACUUGUGUAUUAGCUACUGAACUUCAAUCUUUUUGACAUUUUUGUUCACGUUCCUCCAAGCUUUUGUAUUGAAAAUUAUAUGUAAGUGGUUUUGCUUUUUUUAAAUUGUGUAUUGUUUAGCCUUUCAAUUGAAUGAUUCAGGAGCAAUUUUUGUGUGAAACAUAAAUAUUUAGACCCUUCAUUUAGCCAUAAACAAAAUAAAAUAAAUACCCAUAACAUAAUUAAACAAUUUUUUGUUGUAUGACUAAAUAAAGUGUCCACCAAAAAAUUAUUCACAAUUCAAUUACUUUAAUUAGG
rnacentral:lncRNA from 1 species